rnacentral:misc_RNA from 1 species
GAUGAAGAACGUAGCGAAAUGCGAUACGUAAUGUGAAUUGCAGAAUUCAGUGAAUCAUCGAAUCUUUGAACGCAUAUUGCGCUCUCUGGUAUUCCGGAGAGCAUGCUUGUUUGAGUAUCAGUAAACACCUCAACUUCCAUAUCUUUUUUUGAAAUGGGAGUUGGACUUGAGUGAUCCCAACGCUUUUCCUCACCGAAAAGUGGCGGGUUACUUGAAAUGCAGGUGCAGCUGGACUUUUCUCUGAGCUAUAAGCAUAUCUAUUUAGUCUGCCUAAAAAACAGAUUAUUACCUUUGCUGCAGCUAACAUAAAGGAGAUUAGUUCUUGUGCUGACUGAUGCAGGAUUCACAAAGACAGCUUCGGCCGACUUUGUAAACUCGAUCUCAAAUCAAGUAAGACUACCCGCUGAACUUAAGCAUAUCAAUAACGGAGGA